rnacentral:rRNA from 1 species
UGGGGAAUAUUGCACAAUGGAGGGAACUCUGAUGCAGCGACGCCGCGUGAGUGAUGAAGGAAUUCGUUUCGUAAAACUCUGUUCUAUGGGAAGAAAAGGACUGUACCAUAGGAGAAAGCUCCGGCUAAAUACGUGCCAGCAGCCGCGGUAAUACGUAUGGAGCGAGCGUUGUUCGGAAUUAUUGGGCGUAAAGGGUGCGCAGGCGGCUUUACAAGUUGGAUGUGAAAUAUUGUGGCUCAACCACAAACGUGCAUCCAAAACUGCAAAAGUUGAGUUAAGGAGAGGUAAGUGGAAUUCCUGGUGUAGCGGUGGAAUGCGUAGAUAUCAGGAGGAAUACCGGUGGCGAAGGCGACUUACUGGACUUAAACUGACGCUCAGGCACGAAAGCGUGGGGAGCAAACAGG